rnacentral:rRNA from 1 species
UACGGAGGGUGCAAGCGUUAUCCGGAUUCACUGGGUUUAAAGGGUGCGUAGGUGGGUCUGUAAGUCCGUGGUGAAAUCUCCGAGCUUAACUUGGAAACUGCCAUGGAUACUAUAGGUCUUGAAUACUGUGGAGGUCAGCGGAAUAUGUCAUGUAGCGGUGAAAUGCUUAGAUAUGACAUAGAACACCAAUUGCGAAGGCAGCUGGCUAGACAAAUAUUGACACUGAUGCACGAAAGCGUGGGGAGCAAACAGG